GAUGAACGCUAGCUACAGGCUUAACACAUGCAAGUCGCGGGGCAGCAUGGGGGUUGCUUGCAAUCCCCGAUGGCGACCGGCGCACGGGUGAGUAACGCGUAUCCAACCUGCCCUUCACCACGGGAUAACCCGGCGAAAGUCGGACUAAUACCGUAUGUUGUCCAUUGACGGCAUCCGAUUUGGACGAAAGGUUUGGCGGUGAAGGAUGGGGAUGCGUCCGAUUAGCUGGACGGCGGGGUGACGGCCCACCGUGGCGACGAUCGGUAGGGGUUCUGAGAGGAAGGUCCCCCACACUGGAACUGAGACACGGCCCAGACUCCUACGGGAGGCAGCAGUGAGGAAUAUUGGCCAAUGGGCGUAAGCCUGAACCAGCCAAGUAGCGUGCAGGAUGACGGCCCUAUGGGUUGUAAACUGCUUUUAUGCGGGGAUAAAGUGGCCCACGUGUGGGUUUUUGCAGGUACCGCAUGAAUAAGGACCGGCUAAUUCCGUG
rnacentral:rRNA from 1 species